rnacentral:rRNA from 1 species
GACGAACGCUGGCGGCGUGCUUAACACAUGCAAGUCGAACGGAAAGGCCCUGCUUUUGUGGGGUGCUCGAGUGGCGAACGGGUGAGUAACACGUGAGUAACCUGCCCUUGACUUUGGGAUAACUUCAGGAAACUGGGGCUAAUACCGGAUAGGAGCUCCUGCUGCAUGGUGGGGGUUGGAAAGGUUCGGCGGUUGGGGGUGGACUCGCGGCUUAUCAGCUUGUUGGUGGGGGAGUGGCUUACCAAGGCUUUGACGGGUAGCCGGCCUGAGAGGGUGACCGGCCACAUUGGGACUGAGAUACGGCCCAGACUCCUACGGGAGGCAGCAGUGGGGAAUAUUGCACAAUGGGCGGAAGCCUGAUGCAGCAACGCCGCGUGCGGGAUGACGGCCUUCGGGUUGUAAACCGCUUUCGCCUGUGACGAAGCGUGAGUGACGGUAAUGGGUAAAGAAGCACCGGCUAACUACGUG